GAUUCAAGUUUGGGUCUGUAUCGCAGUCAACCCUGCGUGGGAAAUUGAAGCACUUUUGGAUGUCCUUCCAAUCAAACAAGCUUUGAUUUCAAUGGCAGGUUUUUUAAUUUCCUGGCUCAGGCUAUUGUGCAGCAGAGAGCAAACUCAAGGUCUGAGGGGAGUCUGUUCGUUUGGGGAGAUAAACAAACAUAUUGAAGGCCAGCAGCACAGGACUCUGGAUAAAAUCAUGCUUUGGUGGAGCCACUGGUGAUGAAUGACCAGGCUUAGAAGAAAGAUAGCAGUAUGCAAG